rnacentral:rRNA from 1 species
AUGCAUGGUGACCGGAACACUUCCUUCUUUCAAAAUGCUGCCACUGCACGUAAAAAAAUAAAUCUGAUUAAAAGGCUCUUGGAUGAUACUGGGGUCUGGAAGGAGGGUAAUGAACUCCAGGGUCAUAUCAUGUCCUAUUUUGCUCAGCUGUUCACUUAUGAACCUUCCGAGAGGCAGGCAAGUGUUCUAGACAAGGUGCCCCAUAAGGUGUCUAGAACGAUAAGUUUACUUGCACCGUUUACGCAUGAGAAAGUAAAAAAGGCUCUCUUCAGUAUUGGUGAUUUUAAGGCGCCAGGCCCUAACGGACUGCACGCAGUUUUUUAUAAGCGUUUUUGGCAUCUUUUGGGGGGUGAUCUGAUUGAUGAAGUUCUUACAGGAGUGAAUACGUACACAAUCCCCGAGGGUUGGAAUGAUACGAUUAUUAUUAUGAUUCCAAAAACUAAAGCACCUGAGAAGGUAACUCAAUUCCGCCUAAUUAGUCUCUGCAAUGUCGUGUACAAAGUCAUCUCCAAAAUGCUUGCUGCAAGAUUGAAGAUUUUUCUGCCAGAAAUUAUUUCAUCCACUCAAAGUGCUUUCGUCCCUGGACGGCUGAUCACGGAUAAUUUCUUGGUCGCUUUUGAAAGUUUUCAUACUAUGAAGAAAAGGAGACAGGGUAAGACUGGAUUGUGUGCGGUGAAACUGGAUAUGCACAAGGCAUAUGACCGCGUUGAGUAG